CCUACGGGCGGCAGCAGUAAGGGAUCUUCCGCAAUGGCCGCAAGGCUGACGGAGCGACGCCGCGUGCGCGACGAAGCCCUUCGGGGUGUAAAGCGCUUUUCUCGGGGACGAGUAAGGACGGUACCCGAGGAAGAAGCCUCGGCUAACUACGUGCCAGCAGCCGCGGUAAUACGUAGGAGGCGAGCGUUGUCCGGAAUCACUGGGCGUAAAGCGCGUGUAGGCGGAUGAGUAAGUCUGUGGUGAAAGCGCCUGGCUUAACCGGGUGAGGUCCAUGGAAACUAUUCGUCUGGAGGCCGGUAGAGGGGGGUGGAAUUCCGGGUGUAGUGGUGAAAUGCGUAGAGAUCCGGAGGAACACCCGUGGCGAAGGCGGCCCCCUGGGCCGCGCCUGACGCUGAGACGCGAAAGCGCGGGGAGCGAACGGGAUUAGAUACCCUUGUAGU
rnacentral:rRNA from 1 species